rnacentral:rRNA from 1 species
GACGAACGCUGGCGGCGUGCCUAACACAUGCAAGUCGAACGGAACUGUUUUGAAAGCUUUCUUCGGAAUGAAUUUGAUUUAGUUUAGUGGCGGACGGGUGAGUAACGCGUGAGUAACCUGCCUUCAAGAGGGGAAUAACAUUCUGAAAAGAAUGCUAAUACCGCAUGACAUAUCGGAACCACAUGGUUUUGAUAUCAAAGAUUUUAUCGCUUGAAGAUGGACUCGCGUCCGAUUAGUUAGUUGGUGAGGUAACGGCUCACCAAGACCGCGAUCGGUAGCCGGACUGAGAGGUUGAACGGCCACAUUGGGACUGAGACACGGCCCAGACUCCUACGGGAGGCAGCAGUGGGGGAUAGUGCGCAAUGGGGGCAACCCUGACGCAGCAACGCCGCGUGAAGGAUGAAGGUUUUCGGAUUGUAAACUUCUUUUAUUAAGGACGAAAAAUGACGGUACUUAAUGAAUAAGCGCCGGCUAACUACGUG